GGGUACAAAAAUUUUAGCAAAAAAUUAAACCUUUAUUUUUUCAUUACAAAUUUUAUUUAUUACACUAUUAGUUGUUACUUUAUGAUAUGGUACAAAAAACAACCCAAAAAAAUUAUUUGGUUUGGCCCCAGAUGACUUUAAAAAUUGAAAAAGCUCCAAAUUAUCUCCCUUUGGUGCAAAAAUGCCAUUUUUUGGCCUUAAAUUUGAAAUAUCUUUCUUAACUCAUCGGUGACCUAUAUUUUUUAUUAUUGUUUUCAAAUAAGCUGUACAUAAACUAAAUAAUUGUAAAAUUUAAGCGAUUUCUUAUAUUAGGUUAUUUUUUUAUUUCGAUAUUUCCUCUUUUUCUCCUAUUAGUUCAACAGAAAAAAAGGACAUUAACAAAAAUGUAUGCUUCUUCUAGAGGCAGAUUUUAGCUUAAAUGAACGGUGACCCCAUUUUUGUAUUUCAUUUUUCUUUUAAGUAUAUGAUAUAAAGUUCAUUUAUGAAAAAAUAUAGCGAAAUCCUAUAUUGGAAAAAAAAAUUCAUUUAUACCCAGGAGCCCCCUUAAA
rnacentral:lncRNA from 1 species